GAUAGUACCUUACUACUUGGAUACCCGUAGUAAUUCUAGAGCUAAUACAUGCAUCAACGCCCAAUCGGGCCGCGUUUAUUAGAUAGAAACCCAUAUUUUUGGUGAAUCAUAAUAACUGUGCGAAUCGCAUGGGUUUACCCCGGCGAUGAAUCAAUCAAGUUUCUGCCCUAUCAGCUUUCGAUGGUAGGGUAUUGGCCUACCAUGGCGUUAACGGGUAACGGAGAAUUAGGGUUCGAUUCCGGAGAGGGAGCCUGAGAAACGGCUACCACAUCCAAGGAAGGCAGCAGGCGCGUAAAUUACCCAAUCCUGACACAGGGAGGUAGUGACAAUAAAUAACAAUGCCGGGCUUUUUCAAGUCUGGCAAUUGGAAUGAGAACAAUUUAAAUCCCUUAACGAGGAUCAAUUGGAGGGCAAGUCUGGUGCCAGCAGCCGCGGUAAUUCCAGCUCCAAUAGCGUAUAUUAAUGUUGUUGCAGUUAAAAGGCUCGUAGUUGGAUUUCUGGUGGGAGCGGCCGGUCCGCCGCAAGGUGUGUACUUGGCUGUCUCCUGUCAUCCUUGUGGGAACUGCUCUGGCAUUAAGUUGUCGGGGUUGGGGAACACAUCGUUUACUGUGAAAAAAUUAGAGUGUUUAAAGCAGGCUUAUGCCGUUGAAUACAUUAGCAUGGAAUAAUAAGAUAGGACUUUGGCGUCUAUUUUGUUGGUUUGCACACCAAAGUAAUGAUUAAUAGGGAUAGUUGGGGGUAUUCGUAUUUAAUUGUCAGAGGUGAAAUUCUUGGAUUUAUGAAAGACGAACUUCUGCGAAAGCAUUUACCAAAGAUGUUUUCAUUAAUCAAGAACGAAAGUUAGGGGAUCGAAGAUGAUUAGAUACCAUCGUAGUCUUAACCAUAAACUAUGCCGACUAGGGAUUGGCGGUCGUUCAUUUAUGACUCCGUCAGCACCUUAUGAGAAUCAAAGUCUUUGGGUC
rnacentral:rRNA from 1 species